rnacentral:lncRNA from 1 species
UGCAUUGCUCUCCUUAUUUCUAUUUUCAGCAGACAGUUUUGGUGUGGCUGAGUUUGCCAUCUAUGAAGGAGAAUGGACAGAUGAGGUCUACACUGUGUCUGGUGACAUCAUGGAUGGGUAUCUGUAUGACCUGCUGAUGAACAUGCUUGAAGAACGUGGAAUUUCCAGCGAGUUUGGUUACAAUCUUGUCAACUUCUGCACCGUCUAUGAACACAGUCUUUACAUUGGCCUGCUGGAAAAGCUCAAGGACUUUGUCUCAAAAAAGUAGAGCUGUGCUUUAUCAUGGUGAAGCCUGUCUGCAAGGACUCUAGUAGUACCAUGUCUGUAUUGAUGUAGAUACAUUUAUAUCCUGUGUGUAAGCAACAUAUGUGGAUGCAGUCCACUAUGUUGCCAGAAUGUCCAUUUAGUGUGUAUUUCUGCUGAAGUUUUCACACUGUUCACACAAACAAAAGCUUUCUUUCAUUGUAAACAAUAAAUGUUACUGCGGAAACAGUGUGUA